GCCGGGGCGCAGCCGGGGCCGGGGCGCAGCCGGGGCCGGGGCGCAGCCGGGGCCGGGGCGCAGCCGGGGCCGGGGCUGCUCCCCGCGCUGGGCCCUGCCGCUCUGCUCGGGGACGGUGGGCAUAGCGGCGUUGGCGCGCUCGGGGACUGCGAGCUAACCUGAGAGUGCAGAAAGACUUGCGUGGGCUGCAGGGUGGAACUAGAAGGCUUUCCGCAUCCUUUCGUUUUGCUUUGGUCUUAUGCCAAUGGCACUCAAGUCACGGGAGGUUUGCCUCCAUCCCGUCUUCUGGACAGCUGUGUCCAGGUCGGGGCUCCUCGGGACAAGAGAGGCAAGGAGCUACUGGAGUCAGCCGAGUGGAGGAGCACAAAGAUGAUUUGGGGCCUGGAGCAUUUCUCUUGUGGGGGCGGACUGCGGACCUGGGCCUGUUCAGUCCAGAGAUGACUGAGAGGAGCUCUCCUUAAUGCAUAUAAAUAUCCCUAAGGUGGAUGCCAACGCCGUGGUGCCAGUCUCUUUUCAGUGGUGUCCAGAAACAGAAUAAGGAGCAUAAACUAAACCACAAGAAUUCCACUGAAACAUGAUGAAGAACUUCUUUAGGUGUGGCAGAGCACUGGAACAGGCUGCCAAGUGAGGCUGUGUCAUCUGCUCCAGGUCACCAUGGCUUGACGGGGUGGUUGGAGUAGAUAAUCUCCAAAGGCCCCUUCCACUUCUAAUGACUCUGUGAUUCCCUGUUUAUCAGAAAGCCUGCAGUAGGAUCCUCUGUCUUUCUUCACCUAGCUGCCAUCCUCUCCCCUAGUACCUGUCCUUUUUCACAGUAACUGCACGGUCAACCCUCGCCUUCAUGCCCCGCACAGGAAAUCUUCCACCUUUGGCUUGGCUUUCCCCCUUCAGCUCACACAGAGAUUCUGUGCAGCAUCCUGAGAGGCCUUCAGAUUUCACCGGGAACUGAUGGCAGAAGGGGAAAUCACCUAGAAGGUCUGAACCUGCUGGAGGAAUUGGGACAGAUGGUUUUACUGACUUCAACAGAAAUGAAAGUGAGCCCUGAGCAGAUGCAGUAGUCUGUGUGUUAAUACAGUGGUGGUUGUUGGUUCACUUCACUGCAGUUCACAGUGUCACAGGGCUGCAGAUCCAGCACGACUGAGGCAUGAGCAGGCUAAAGGGGCCAAGGGCUGUGUGAACACUUUGCGACUGUAUCAUCUUCUGUACCACCUGCUUUCCCAUGGUUGACAUCCUGCACGGAUGGAAAUGGUAGUGCUUUACUAAGGUAUUCCGUUAUGCUUUUCCUUCAUUCUCCCUGCAGCCACUCUGCCCUAAUGACCAAGGCAUGGCUUGACUGCCAUAGCUGCAUGCCCAGACCGUGAGCCUCAUGCCUGUGGUGUCCUCCAUGGAAGUGAGCCAUCGUGUCUGUGUGUAGAGAGCUACCACUUUCAGCUGUGUUCACGAAUACCUGCAGGAGAAAACCCUGGGCAUCAUGAUUUAGCCAUCUUCCCGUUGAGUGUUUGUUUGGUUUUGGUUGGUUUUUCUUGUUUGUUUGUUUGUUUUGUUUGUUUGUUUUUCUUCCAUUAUGUAAUAAGGGAACUGGAGCUAUGGGCUUUUUCUGUAUCAGGAGGGUCAGUUUACCUCCUGGAAGGUUUUUUUUUUAGCAUGAGGGGCAAAAAGCACUUGAACAGAUGCUACAGAAGGUGGAAGGCUCGAGCACUGCGUUUCUGCGGUGUUGCCGGUGUCCGUGUGGUGGCCCCGCAUCUCGCCCCCUCUCACUCUGGGUGCUGAGCAGGGGAGCACGGGUUUAUCGUGGGCUGAGCACCCUUAUAUCUGUGCUUGCAGUCCUGUGCUCUGCUCUCUACGCUGCAGAAACCCCACGGUCCUGGCGACAGGCGGGAAGACACCCCCUGCUCUCCCAAAUGCCCUUCCCUCCGAUGCUGCAGCAUUCACCCGGAGCUAGCUCCUGACGCAGCAACUACUCGCAGGAGAACGCGGAGCGCCCUGCUCUUUCAGGAACUUCUCCUUUCAUGUCGGAGUUGUGCCCACCGGCCUUUCCACCUGCGCAGCCCCGCCGUGUCCCGCCGCAGCGCCGCCCGCCCGGCCGCCGCCGCUGCCCGAGCGCUCAGCGCGCUCCGCCAACGCCACCCCCCGCCCGCCGCGCCUCCGGGCCGGCCCGCGGCGGGGCGAGGCGGCCGCGGCCCACGCAGGGCACCGGGAAAUGCAGCCCCGCGGGGGGAGGCGGCGAGCAAGGGCCCAGGGAGCAGUGUCAGCUGGGCCCUGAGUGUCCUGGAGACAGGGAGAUGAUCUUUCAGGCCAGCAGUCGGCUCUGGAAACACCGUGUGUCCUCCAUGGGACAGACCCAACGUGGUUGCUGCCCUCCUUCAAGCCUCCCGUGUUUUUGAGUGACAUUUCACAUUUUAUCAUCACUCCUCUUAGAGCACUUCUUUUAAUGAAUGUGUAUCCAUAUAAAUAUAGAAAUAGGUAGAAAAAGGAAAAUAUUAAGGGAGUUAAACUAAGGAAAACUGCUUUUGCAAGAUCACAUGGCACACAUGGGUCAUAGUUCACUGGUAUUCCCAUCCCAUGGUCUGCAUGAUAUUGUUUCCCCAUUCAUUAACAAAUGUGCACACUAGUGAAUACAGCUGUUAUUUCAACAUACUAAGAAGAUCUUUUUUAGCAGAAGAACCAUUUUAUUUAAAAUACUUACUUUAAGCUCACUAUUAUUUGAUUUGAAUAUUAAACAACAUUUAGAUAUCUAAUAACAAAUGUUUAGGACACUCAUGAGUAUACUAUUAGUAAAAGCAAUUCCCAAAUUUGGCAGAAAAAGUAAGAAUUUAUUAGAAAUUAAUAAGGCAUGUGAAGAAGAGUUGAGGCGAAUUUUUCUAAGUUUUGUUUUAAUUUCUUAUUAAAUAAUUACAUAGUUGCAUUAAAUAAUAAUAAUUAAAUUGGCUGGAACUCUACAACUCAUAACUUUUUUUUUUUAAUUGCAUACCAGCAAAGAACAUUGCUUCUCAACUUCAAACUUUUUCCUCUUUGCAACUUUGAAAGGUUUCUACUUUUUAUGGUAGCAGUGAAGAUAGAAAGAUGUAGUAGGAAAACCACUGUAUAUACAAGUUGAUCAAUUCUGGUGAAUAAUAAUAAUGGCGAAUAAUGAAUACCCUCUGGAUUUCAAACGGAUUGGUUUUCUUUUUCUCUCAAGAAUUUGGACUCCAUUCAAGUUAUUUGCCAAAACCCCUUUUCUGAUUUGGAGGGUGAGAUUUAUGAACGUGGCUGCAGAGCCUCUGUACUUGAAGCUAGUGGAAGAAUGUUACCUACCACAGGACUUUGAAACAUUCUUGGUUUAUAAUCAGUGCCUUAUUUUGAAGAAUUCUUUUUUAUAGUGGAGUUCACUGAUAAAUAUUGCUGGAAAAAUAAAUCGAAUGGAAAACAGCACAUUUUUUGGGAGAACGUGGAGCACCAUUUUCUUUCAGGAACUAUCCCUUUAAUGACUAGUCUUAAUGACUCUGUGUGACCAGUCUUGCUAAAUUAUAUUAUAACCAGUCUGUCUUGCAUCCUAGAUGAAAUUUGCAUGGUUUACAGUCUCUUAGGUAAAAUGCAGAAAUGUUUGGGUUUUUUUUUUUAGAAAAGUGUUGCUUUUGCUUGUUCAGAAUUGUUAUGUGUCAAGUUGAAGGGCAACUAAGAAUGCUGAACUGGUUUUAUAGGAGUGUCAAAAUAGGGAUAAGGCCAGGGCAGAGGAGGCAAAUGAGGGAGUGUUUCUUUCUGUUGGAUAUACUCCUUGAGCAGUCACACUAGGACUGUUCUGCCAGGGACAGGUGAUGUUCGUUCCUUGGGCUCCCAGUGCAGGUUAUUUUGUAGGGACUCACAGAACAGACCUAAGUAAUUUUUGAUGCUGAAGCCACCUGAGAGACUUUCAACAGCGUUUUAAGGGCCUGUUCAACUCGAUUGGCUUUGUAAAUUGCAAAAGCUUUCCUUUAUUGUUAAAUGUGUCAUGUUCACUGUGGUAAAGUAAAACACUGAUCAAGUUCAUGUGUUUAAACAGAAUUCUCUCUAUUUUAAGUAGAAUUCUCUGGAUCUUUAAGCUUUCAGUCUUGAAGCAGAAUGUCCCUGUCCCUUCCUUUGAUCUCUGAUCCAGAUGGAAGUUGAUGGUAUCAUUCUCCCCUUUAACCCUUCUUUUAAAUGUAAAAAGAUGCUAUCAGGUGGGUUAAGCAGAUGUUGCUCAGUGUUUAUGGAAAGCUUUUGUAUUUUAUGACCUGCCUGGCAAUUGUCUGAGAAGAUGACAUCUUCUUUGACACUCAGUAUGAGGUUCUGCACGUCCUGAACUGAACUUUGCUUGAAACCGAGUAGGGGGCAUCUCCCCAGACGACCACCAGGGACCACUAGAGACCCCCGAAGAGGCCUACGCAGGGGCAGUGCACACCAGUGACACAUACUGCAUAAGGUUGCACAAGUUAAGCAAUUGAGCAGUAGUCGGGGAGUAACCACGGCAGGUUUAUGUAGAAUUCAAUGUGUGAAUUCUCUCACAUUUUAAUCCUUGGUAGGCUUGAUUUGUGGAAAAUCUCUACCUUGGAUCUCGGGCCAAAUAAACAAUUUCUCCUUUCCAAACCCUUUGUCCGUGUUUAGACAGUUCUGAAAGUUGGCAACAAAUGCAGUAAAUUGAUUUACAGUUCAGAAGCCUUUGCAGAAGAAUUAAUUUUUUGGAGGUGCUGCCCAAGAGGAGAAGAAAUUGAGUGGAUCCCAGGAGGAAGGAGCAGAUGGAGCCAAGGUUAAGAGAGGCUCUGCUGCAGCCGAGCCAUCUGGUCCUGUCGCAGAGACUUUCCGAGUUAUUCAGGGGGCAAUGACUGAAGAGUAUGUGAGAAGCACUCAGGGUGUCUUCCAGUUUGAGCUCUCUGGUGAUGGUGGAGGCACUUGGUACAUUGACCUGAAGACCGAGGGUGGGAGCGCUGGCUUCGGAAAGCCUCCCGUGGCAGCUGAUGUGGUUAUGAGCAUGUCGAGCGCCGACUUUGUGAAAAUGUUCACAGGUGAGGGACAAAGGCCUUUGUCAAGGGACGCGGGUGCCGGGCCCAGAAAAGCCUCUGCAGACGGGGGCGUAGAGUGGCCUCUCGCUUGCUGACCUGGGACUGGAGGAGCUUUGUGUGGCUCAAGGGAAAGUGCAGGCAAGGAGUGCUUGGAUUUUUCUGCGCUCCUGUGUCCUGUGAACAGCAAGAGUGCAAAAGGUUCCACUGCUCUCAUUAACCAGGUAGUGACACUUGAGCAGCCAGUGCAUCUUCAGAAAGAAUCCUGUCAAUGUGUUGGACUUGUGCUCUGCGCAUGUCUGAGCACAUCUGAGUGUUUCCUAAAUGUGCAUUGCUUUUAC